rnacentral:rRNA from 1 species
GACGAACGCUGGCGGCGUGCUUAACACAUGCAAGUCGAACGGAAAGGCCCUGCUUUUGUGGGGUGCUCGAGUGGCGAACGGGUGAGUGACACGUGAGUAACCUGCCCUUGACUUUGGGAUAACUUCAGGAAACUGGGGCUAAUACCGGAUAGGAGCUCCUGCUGCAUGGUGGGGGUUGGAAAGUUUCGGCGGUUGGGGAUGGACUCGCGGCUUAUCAGCUUGUUGGUGGGGUAGUGGCUUACCAAGGCUUUGACGGGUAGCCGGCCUGAGAGGGUGACCGGCCACAUUGGGACUAAGAUACGGCCCAGAGUCCUACGGGAGGCAGCAGUGGGACAUAUUGCACAAUGGGCGGAAGCCGGAUGCAGCAACGCCGCGUGCGGGAUGACGGCCUUCGGGUUGUAAACCGCUUUCGCAUGUGACGAAGAGUGAGUGACGGUAAUGGGUAAAGAAGCACCGGCUAACUACGUG